rnacentral:rRNA from 1 species
GAUGAACGCUGGCGGCGUGCUUAACACAUGCAAGUCGAACGAAGCACUUUAUUAUGAUUUCUUCGGAAUGACGAUUUAGUGACUGAGUGGCGGACGGGUGAGUAACGCGUGGGUAACCUGCCUUAUACAGGGGGAUAACAGUUAGAAAUGACUGCUAAUACCGCAUAAGCGCACAGGAUUGCAUGAUCUAGUGUGAAAAACUCCGGUGGUAUAAGAUGGACCCGCGUCUGAUUAGCUGGUUGGUGAGGUAACGGCCCACCAAGGCGACGAUCAGUAGCCGACCUGAGAGGGUGACCGGCCACAUUGGGACUGAGACACGGCCCAAACUCCUACGGGAGGCAGCAGUGGGGAAUAUUGCACAAUGGGGGAAACCCUGAUGCAGCGACGCCGCGUGAGCGAAGAAGUAUUUCGGUAUGUAAAGCUCUAUCAGCAGGGAAGAAAAAUGACGGUACCUGACUAAGAAGCCCCGGCUAACUACGUGCCAGCAGCC